rnacentral:lncRNA from 1 species
GCCAAAUUUUUUGAUAUCAUGAACCCGUACUACAGUGGUGAUACAUUUCUACCAACAAUUAGUGCUGUUAUCUACAACUUCAAGGUUUUGUUUGCUGCUACAUACGGAAAUUCUAGUUCUUUUAGCAUAUGAAAUUUUGAAUCAAGAUUUGUACCAGCUCCCAAGGUCAAUUUCAGGUGGGUUUUCCAUGGAAAUCUCCCAUUUUAGAAGAUUUGUACCAGUCACCAGCAACUUUUUGGUUCUUUCUCCUAAAAAAGCAGAUUAAAAGUAUUUUAAAUUCACAAUAAUUUCCAUCCUAAGUAUGGAACUGAUUGUGGUAUUAUUUUUCUUUCACAUGUAUGACUCAGGAAUUUUCCUUCUUCAGUAUGUUAGCAAGUACAAAGGUCUCGGUUUGGAGGGUUUCUCUAAUGUAAGCGAUAGACAUAUGUUUCCUUUUUUGGUCAUUAAUUGGAACAUAUUAGGAAUUAAACAACACUUUCUCUAAAAUACUGUAGGAUGAUUUACAUGCUCUACUUCAACAAUUCCUUUUUGAGAUUGUAACUUGCAAGGACAAUGAAAUUCAGCUCCCGUUAGUAACUUCUUUCCUGCAGAGACAUGUAAGUUUUAUUUGUCUCCCAAUGACAGAAAAUAGAUGUUUUUUUCUUAGAGCCUGCUCUUUCAUAUCGAACAGUGAAAUUAUUUUCUUCUAAUCCCGCAUAUGUUUCAACAGGGUUUCCGCAUAUUCCAGUGAAGCUUUGAAGGCCAAUCUUUACUCGUU